AGAAAGGUGGGGUAUCAGCCCCCCUCUGCACAGGGGCAAGGCAGCGAGUGAAGGUCUGGCAGAGAGGCGGAGGCUGCUGCAGAAUAAGCGGAAGGAGCCAGCUGAGGACCCAGCCCAGCGCGCCGCUCGCCUCAAGACAUUCCCCUGCAAACGAUUCAAAGAGGUGAUUCUCGCCUUCCACCCUCCCUGCCACAGGGCACUGCUGGGGCCAGGGACUGAGGAAAGAAACCCAGCCCUGUGCUCACAGCCUAGAGUUUCACACCCCUGUUCUCUCACCAGGGUACCUGUCAACUAGGAGACCAGUGCUGCUAUUCACACAGCCCUGCAGCUCCUGUGGCCUCUGGUGAUAUCCCCAUCACAGACUGUCCAGAGACUACCACCAAGCUCUCCCCUGAACCAGAGGCUGCUCAUGGGAGCAUUCCUGGGCCAGGUGUAGACUGAGACAAUAAAGAGCUAUAACCUGCUGGUUGUCAUUUG
rnacentral:lncRNA from 1 species